GCGCCCAUAGUUCAAUGGAUAGAAUGCAAGCUUGCGGAGCUUGAUAUCGAGGUCCGAUUCCUCGUGGGCGCACCA
rnacentral:tRNA from 3 species